GGUCAGAUGGUUGAUUGAAGAUGAAAUUUUGGUUAAUGUGAGCCAAGAUACCUAAAUUGCCAGCCUGUCUUUUUCUAUAGGCAAACCUAUGUCAACAGCGAGGUGGAUGAUCAUUUACAUGUAUGCGACUUGUUCAUUGCUAAUGGCAAGGGCUGAAGGGCUCAAGAUAUCAUCCAAUUCUUUGGUGGUCAGCUCGCUGAUCAGAUCC
rnacentral:lncRNA from 1 species